UUUUGUUCAGAGAGGCUAAAUAUCGAGUCAUAUUUUAAGUCAGCUUUGAAGCUUUGACCAUGGCAUAGCUCACGUAUUUAAAAUGUCAAACCUCAGUUUGAUCAGUUCCUCAUUCUUUACUCAGUGUCUUCUGAUUUCUGGUGGGUAAUCAUUUCUGAGUUUUGGGAGACUUGUGAUUUUAGAAGCUAACAUGGGGGAAUAGUGGCAGCAUGUGAGAAAGUAUAUUAAAUUGCUGAUGUAGAAGUUCAUAAAUAGAGAAUUAUUUUCAUACUGAUGUUUUCUCUAAAAUUUAAAGGGCAUUGAUUUCCCCCCCCCAUAUUAAAAAGGAUACUUUUUUUCAAUUUUUACACAAAAGUAGUUACUAUUUUCUGACUCUCUUAAUUUAGAAUUUUAUUGUAACAAGUUUGAAGUUUCAAAUCUUGUCUGUGUUGUAAAGUUUCUCUGACCAAGAUCAAUUUUUUACUGCCCAUCUCUCCUCUAGAGAUCGCAGUGAAGACAUUUUAACAGAAUUCAAAGAAGGCUUUGGGGAGUACUUCUUAUAUUGUUUAAUGUUUGAAAUCACAUUUUGAUUUAAACAAAUAAUGAUACAACAUUUCUGUUUUGAAAUGCAAGCAGUAAUUAAGUUCAGAGAGGUGUAAAUCUUGCUUAAGUGCAAUGUUUGUGCUUCUGCAAGGUGUUGUAAACAGUUACAGAGCACGAAGGAAAGAUCUGUCUGUGUCCUGUUGUUCUUGGAGCAGUGGUGUCUAAAGGGCAAGCUGACAUGCUGGAAAGCAUUUCCCAUGAUAAGGUUAGAGACUGUGAAUGAUGUGAGGAAUUAUUUUUAAACUGAAAAGUUACAGGCUAGGCUUCAUUAACAGAUCAUGUGAGGGAAGGUUAAACAAAAGCUGCUUGCAGAAGAGGAGAGAGGUAAUUAAAACAAUCCACUACUGGUUUAAGGUUUGUUUUCCUGAAAAUCAGUUUAGAUACAAUUAUGCAGCCUGAACUAACUACAGGCCUGGAGCAGAAAACAACAGACUGGAAAUAUCAUGAUACAGUGAGGUCUUGGCUGAGUUGUUGGAGUUCUCCUCCUCAAGCAGAGGAAUUAAGGAGGAUGCUGGUUACUUGUUCUCACAUACUACAGCAAAGUUGUUUGCCACGACAGAAAAGCCCAGCUAUCUAUCUACAUAGAAAGGGUAACUGAAAGGACAGCAUGAAACAGAAAAUGAUGUGGAGGAUGAUCUCCUCUAUAUGGCCUUCUUCAGUAUGGAGCCUGAGCAGAGCAAGGAGUCCCUGUACACAUGGACAUGAAGUGAGGGAAGGAGAUUGGGUCAGGGCACAUUGUACUUUGUGGUUGGUGAUCGUGUAAUGCAGUGUCCCCAGGCAGAAACUUAAGCCAGUGCAACAGGCCACUUGACUGUCUCCCCACACCAAAUACCACCCCAUAUUCUACCAGAAUGCAUUGCACACAGGCUGUGCAGGAAAUCAGGUCUAACAAAUAUGUGGUUAUGUUGCAAAAAACCCUGACUCUGUGAAAUCACCACAUUUGUUUAUCUUAGAGAAUGGUCAAAUGAGAGACUUCUCACCUCCUUUUAGAGGUGAAUUGAGCAGCUUGUACCUCCAAAGGUGAC